AUACGGAGGAUCCGAGCGUUAUCCGGAUUUACUGGGUUUAAAGGGUGCGUAGGCGGGCGCCUAAGUCAGCGGUGAAAUGGCAGCGGCUCAACCGUUGAACUGUCGUUGAAACUGGGCGCCUUGGAUGCGGUCGAGGCCGGCGGAAUGCGUGGUGUAGCGGUGAAAUGCUUAGAUAUCACGCAGAACGCCAAUUGCGAAGGCAGCUGGCCGGGCCGCAAUCGACGCUGAGGCACGAAAGCGUGGGGAUC
rnacentral:rRNA from 1 species